rnacentral:rRNA from 1 species
AUUGAACGCUGGCGGCAGGCCUAACACAUGCAAGUCGAGCGAGCGGCGGACGGGUGAGUAAUGUCUGGGAAACUGCCUGAUGGAGGGGGAUAACUACUGGAAACGGUAGCUAAUACCGCAUACCAUCAGAUGUGCCCAGAUGGGAUUAGCUAGUAGGUGGGGUAACGGCCCACCUAGGCGACGAUCCCUAGCUGGUGUGAGAGGAUGACCCGCGACACUGGAACUGAGACACGGUCCAGAGGACUACGAGAGGCAGCAGUGGGGAAUAUUGCACAAGGGGGGCAAGCCUGAUGCAGCCAUGCAGCGUGUGUGAAGAAGGCCGGCGGGGUGUAAAGCACUUUCAGCGGGGAGGCGUUACCCGCAGAAGAAGCACCGGCUAACUCCGUGCCAGCAGCCGCGGUAAUAC